rnacentral:rRNA from 1 species
GAUGAACGCUGGCGGCGUGCCUAAUACAUGCAAGUCGAGCGAACAGACGAGGAGCUUGUUCCUCUGACGUUAGCGGCGGACGGGUGAGUAACACGUGGAUAACCUACCUAUAAGACGGGGAUAACUUCGGGAAACCAGAGCUAAUACCGGAUAAUAUAUUUAACCACAUGGUUCAAUAGUGAAAGACGCUUUUGCUUUACCUAAUAGAUGUAUCCGCGCCGAAUAAGCGAGUGGUUAAGGUAAGGCCUUACCAAGGGAACGAUGAGUAGCCGACCUGAGAGGGUGAUGGCCAACAUGGGACCUGAGACACGGCCCAGACUCCUACGGGAGGCAGCAGUAGGGAAUCUUCGGCAAUGGGGGAAAGCCUGACGGAGCAACGCCGCGUGAGUGAUGAAGGUCUUCGGACCGUAAAACUCUGUUAUUAGGAAAGAAGAAAUGUGUAAGUAACUAUGCACGUAUUGACGGUACCUAAUCAGAAAGCCACGGCUAACUACGUG